rnacentral:rRNA from 1 species
UACAGAGGGUGCAAGCGUUGUUCGGAAUUAUUGGGCGUAAAGGGCGCGUAGGCGGUGCGGUAAGUCUGUAGUGAAAUCUCUGGGCUCAACUCAGAGUCUGCUGCAGAAACUGCCGUGCUUGAGUGUGGGAGAGGUGAGUGGAAUUCCCGGUGUAGCGGUGAAAUGCGUAGAUAUCGGGAGGAACAACUGUGGCGAAAGCGGCUCACUGGACCACAACUGACGCUGAGGCGCGAAAGCUAGGGGAGCAAACAGG